rnacentral:rRNA from 1 species
GACGGAUGGGGCUAGCGUUGUUCGGAAUUACUGGGCGUAAAGGGCGCGUAGGCGGCCAUUUAAGUUAGACGUGAAAGCCCUGGGCCUAACCUAGGAACUGCGUUUAAUACUGGAUGGCUAGAGUAUGGUAGAGGAAAGCGGAAUUCCUAGUGUAGAGGUGAAAUUCGUAGAUAUUAGGAAGAACACCAGAGGCGAAGGCGGCUUUCUGGACCAUUACUGACGCUGAGGCGCGAAAGCGUGGGGAGCAAACAGG